rnacentral:rRNA from 1 species
CCGUGAAACUGCGAAUGGCUCAUUAAAUCAGUUAUAGUUUAUUUGAUAGUACCUUCUACCUGGAUAACCGUGGUAAUUCUAGAGCUAAUACAUGCUAAAAACCCCGACUCACGGAGGGGUGUAUUUAUUAGAUAAAAAACCAAUGCCCUUUGGGCUCAGUGGUGAUUCAUGAUAACUUAACGAAUCGCAUGGCCUUGCGCCGGCGAUGGUUCAUUCAAAUUUCUGCCCUAUCAACUUUCGAUGGUAGGAUAGUGGCCUACCAUGGUUUCAACGGGUAACGGGGAAUUAGGGUUCGAUUCCGGAGAGGGAGCCUGAGAAACGGCUACCACAUCCAAGGAAGGCAGCAGGCGCGCAAAUUACCCAAUCCCAAUUCGGGGAGGUAGUGACAAUACAUACCGAUACAGGGCUCUUUCGGGUCUUGUAAUUGGAAUGAGUACAAUCUAAAUCCCUUAACGAGGAACAAUUGGAGGGCAAGUCUGGUGCCAGCAGCCGCGGUAAUUCCAGCUCCAAUAGCGUAUAUUAAAGUUGUUGCAGUUAAAAAGCUCGUAGUUGAACCUUGGGUCUGGCCGAUCUGUCUUCCUAACCGUUGUACGGAUUCGGUCGGGCCUUUCCUUCUGGGGAGCCCCAUGUCCUUCACUGGGCGUGGUGGGGAACCAGGACUUUUACCUUGAAAAAAUUAGAGUGUUCAAAGCAGGCCUUUGCUCGAAUACAUUAGCAUGGAAUAAUGGAAUAGGACAGCAGUUCUAUUUUGUUGGUUUCUAGGACCGCUGUAAUGAUUAAUAGGGAUAGUCGGGGGCGUCAGUAUUCAAUUGUCAGAGGUGAAAUUCUUGGAUUUAUUGAAGACUAACUAUUGCGAAAGCAUUCGCCAAGGAUGUUUUCAUUAAUCAGUGAACGAAAGUUAGGGGAUCGAAGACGAUCAGAUACCGUCGUAGUCUUAACCAUAAACUAUGCCGACUAGGGAUUGGACGGUGUUUCUUUUAUGACCCGUUCAGCACCUUACGAGAAAUCAAAGUUUUUGGGCUCUGGGGGGANUAUGGUCGCAAGGCUGAAACUUAAAAAAUUGACGGAAGGGCCCCCAAGGNNUGGA